rnacentral:misc_RNA from 1 species
GUUUCUCCCUAAACUUGCUUUGAGUUAACUGGCUUGUCCCUUGCAUUGCUUUUUCCAAAAUAAAUGUUUUUUGUGGCCUGUUCCUAACUGUUGAAUUGUUUGAAGUGUUCAUUCAAAAUGAUAUUCAUGCAUACAAAUUUGUAGCCUGGACUUGUAUGGAAACACUACUCUGGUAACUUCUGAUUGCUGUUUUACUGCAUACUGCAUGUUAUGGGACUACUCAUACUGACCAGCAGAUGACUUACAAAAGUCCAAUUAUGUGGCCAGCAGAUAACAAUGAGUACUUGUAUCCAUAAGUGGGAAAAAAGUCUAAUAACAAUCAAACAACAUUUGUUUGCUUCUUGGUGGUAAUGCUAGUGAUGUGUUUUAAUGUUGAAAUACUACUUGAUCUUUGGGCAUUUGCUUAUAUUUUUCAGCUUAUAUAGGCCUUCUGUAAAUACUUAUAGUCUUUUUUUUAUUUUUGGGCAGAUACAUAUUCCUACAACCAGCUU